GUUACAGACGGACCCUAGUUGGGUUGAAGU
rnacentral:other from 1 species